rnacentral:rRNA from 1 species
AGUUUAUCGUGUACGCAAGUCAUUGGGUAAUUAAAACCCAAAGGCGAAAUGAAAGUAAAGAGUAGAGUAUUUAAGAAAGGAAUUUAUUUCUAUCUUUUUUCUCUCUUGAGGGAAGAUGAAAAUUUCAUUUAUAAUAAUUUUACUUGUUAUUAUUAUUAUCUAUGUAAAUUUUUCGCAUUCCCAGGGCGCUUGUUUCACGCUUUGCGUGUCAAUGCACACCUAGAGCGUACACGCUGAUACCCGAAAGAUGGUGAACUAUGCCUGGCCAGGACGAAGCCAGGGGAAACCCUGGUGGAGGUCCGCAGCGAUUCUGACGUGCAAAUCGAUCGUCGGAGCUGGGUAUAGGGGCGAAAGACCAAUCGAACCAUCUAGUAGCUGGUUCCCUCUGAAGUUUCCCUCAGGAUAGCUUGCGCUCGAUUUUAAGAGUCUCAUCCGGUAGAGCGAAUGAUUAGAGGCAUUGGGGUCGAAACGACCUCAACCUAUUCUCAAACUCCAAAUAGAUGAGACCCCCGGCUUUCUUGAAAUUGAAGCCGUGGGAUUAGGAUCAGAGUGCCAAGUGGGCUAAUUUUGGU